rnacentral:rRNA from 1 species
GAUGAACGCUGGCGGCGUGCCUAAUACAUGCAAGUCGAGCGAACAGACGAGGAGCUUGCUCCUCUGACGUUAGCGGCGGACGGGUGAGUAACACGUGGAUAACCUACCUAUAAGACUGGGAUAACUUCGGGAAACCGGAGCUAAUACCGGAUAAUAUAUUGAACCGCAUGGUUCAAUAGUGAAAGACGGUUUUGCUGUCACUUAUAGAUGGAUCCGCGCCGCAUUAGCUAGUUGGUAAGGUAACGGCUUACCAAGGCAACGAUGCGUAGCCGACCUGAGAGGGUGAUCGGCCACACUGGAACUGAGACACGGUACAGACUCCUACGGGAGGCAACAGUAGGGAAUCUUCCGCAAUGGGCGAAAGCCUGACGGAGCAACGCCGCGUGAGUGAUGAAGGUCUUCGGAUCGUAAAACUAUGUUAUUAGGGAAGAACAAAUGUGUAAGUAACUAUGCACGUCUUGACGGUACCUAAUCAGAAAGCCACGGCUAACUACGUG